rnacentral:sRNA from 1 species
CGGUGCCGGCCGACCCGGAAGCAUGUCUGUCCCUAGCGGAGGCGCGGGUGCCGUGGUGAGAGCGCCUGCCUGUGCGCCCCGAGCGGGGCCGGGACUCUUCCAAGAUGCCCAUGUUCGCACAGAGACCCCGGAUCGCGGAAGCUCGCGUCUCGAAAGGCCUGUGGGUCGGGGGGGGCAUCUCGGUGGGAUCUGGGGCGGGACGACCCCCCACUGCUGAACCCUGGGCGCGGGGCAGGGUCAGAGGCUCCGCUCGGCCUCCCCCUGGAUGAGACGCGCAUGCCCGGUGUCCCCCGGCCGCCGUCGGCGUCGUGUCUUCAGUCCUUAUCGACUCCAGACUUUGGGGAUGCGUAUUAACGCCAGACUCCUGCAAAGUCUUGCCUUCAAAACUCAGCCCCUGGGGAGAGACGGGUGGAGGGAUGACUGGAAACGUGGCCUCGACGUCCCUACAGAGCCCCUCCAGCGUGGGGAGGCCUAAGUACCUCAAGGUUCAGGCCCACGGAAGGAGUCGGGGGAGCGAGGCCCGGUGCUCUACGUGUGAAGGAGCUUGGACAGGACCUCACAAACGCCAGGGACACGGCGAGGGGGUUCGUGCGUUUGUAACGUCUUGACAUCGCUGAUCCUCCCGCAGGCGGUCUCACGCCCUGCCCGUCCUGGGUUCACGGUUUUUCAUCACCUGCGGCUGUCCUGCGAUCGACCACAGCUGUGCAGGAGGGACAGGAGGUAUCUGUUGCUGCAGUUACCGGAACCUUUGCCAGGACUAGUACAGGACCACGGGCUGGUAGCUCAGGGAUGUCUCGUCUGUGAGUUACAGCUGCACGCUCUCCAGGAAAGAAGGAAUUUUCUCUUCUCUGGAAACCCCACCACACAGCUGGUUUCUCAUUGGUGCUGCUUGCCCAUUUCCUGAGCUGUGACUGCCAGAGGAGUGGGAGGUUGGUGGUGCCUCCAGCCCAUCAGGGGCAGGCCCUGGGACCGCCUGGGAACAGGAGGACUAUGGCACAAACCGAGUUAGUGAUGGGAGCAACCCGCAGGGCUCUGCCGCAUCCCUGUCUUCCUUCACUGACAUGAAACGCAGAAAAGGCAGCUUUGCCACAACACAGCAGCACGCACCGAAUGUGGCUGCCCAAGGCUCUGUCCUUGACCCUGUUGUCCAGGACUGUUUACCAAGGGCUGACAGGCACUGAGUGCCCCGUGCACAUGGCCAGACACUGCACUCAUGCAGUGGAAAGGACAGUGAACGAGACUUGGUCCCUGGCCUCCAAAGGCUUAGGGCGUAGUGGCUGUCAUGAGGCGCAGUGACAAGGGCCAGGAGGGGGACCUCUUAGGGGGCCAUGCAGUGAUGGAAGCCAGAAAGAAUGAAGGCCUGCAGUGAGGAUGGAGUGGUCGGCCUGAAGCCAUCUCUAGCAAGUGGCCAGGACACUGAUUAUUCUGUGCAGGUUGGAGGUAGGUGGUGAGUCUGAGAAAGGGGCCAGAAAGACUCCCCAGCAACUGCUGGCAAAGGGUGAAGGGCACGUUCCCACAGGAUGCAAGCCAGCUGCCUUUGGAGGGGGGAUGGGCACUCAAUUUAGGCGCUCCUACAGCAGGGUCAGCAAGACAAGCAGGUUGCGGCAGGGGUCUGUGCACUGCUGCGUAAGUGUAGGGGGCAUCAGGAGGCAGACAGCCGCUGAUAACCAGCAUCUCAAGAGCCUUCCUGGGGCAGAAAGACCAGGGGAGAAGUGUGCAUCACCCUUGGGGUUAAGGGACAGUUGUCUGCUAGGUGUUGCUUCCUGGAGAUGGCUGAAAAGCCAGUCCAGUCUGCAGGGACCAGGCCACCACCCACCUGAUGUGGGAGCAUUUCCCCCAAUCCCUGCUGGGCUGCUGAAUCUGGGGGACAUAGGGAAGCUGAGGCUGGUGUUCUGAGUAGUGGCAGAGCUGAGCCACAGGGCAUGUCUGAGGUCAGCCCCGAGCAAAAUGGAGUAGGGACUCAGGGUGGGUCAGGUAACUGGGAAGCGGGCACUGUGCACGCAGCCCUUGAGGGGAGCCAGGGUGGAUGGGGAUCCCCCACUGUGUGCAGAAGGCAGCAGCCUUGGAAGCAGGGUGUGCUCCUCGGUGUGGUCGCUCGAUACCAGAAAAUGACUCUAAAAACUGAAGAGUGUUUGAGUUUCAUUCACACAAAACAUGGACGUCAUCUGUGAGGCUCUGUCCCAGAGAGACAGGGCCAUCCCUCAUGUCUGUUAUUGGGAUGUAGAUAAACAAAAGUAUAA